GGACGGACCCAGGGUGGAGCCACCCUGGGCUCACAUAAGGGCCAGCCACAGGAAGGAGAGCUGCUCUUGGACCUAGGCUGCUUCCUGAGAAGGAGUGCUGCACAGUUAGAGAGUCCCUUCACCAGCUGAGUAAAUAUGUGACCUUGAGCCAGAUUGAAAUUGGUAAACUGGAGACCAAGAGGAUGUGGCAAUGGAUAGUCUAUUAAAUAAAGAAAACAUUUCAAAGGACUAAAUUAGAUGAAGCCAGAGACAGAUUUGUGAUAUCUCAUCCUUCUCCCAUAAACAAUAAGAAGUCAGGAUUAUCUGACUACCACAGUAUCUCACAGAGAUGGAAGCUUCCAAGGAAGAUAGAGACCUUUUGCAUCUCUGGUUUAUUAUCUCUAGGACACUCACCUCGUCUACUUCUUGCAAGGAAUCAGAGAAAAAGUAGCCUAAAGGGACAUGUGGAUUGCUAAAGCUAAGUAUUAAUGACCUCCAUCCUCUAAAACAACAGACACACAAAAAAAACCUAACAAAACAAAGCUGCUAACAUCUCAAGAAUUCUGAUUUUGGCUUGUAGCUUAGUCUUCCACAGAGAAAUUCAAUGGCAGAUAACCUUUUCCUCUUACAGAUUGACAACAUUGGAGAUAUAACUAGAAUCUUUUGGUUGCCAGCAAACUGUUUUGGUGUAUUUCGUUUUCUUGAUAAUAUACGUAUAGCUGCCAAUGUAAUGAUUUGGGGAGAUGGAAAAACUCACUGAAGAUUCAUCCUUCACACUAGAAUCUAUCUUCCAGACCAAGGAAGUAAAUGGCAAGACAGUUGAGGGCAAGAAGAUUGGUGUUUGUGCAGAAGCAUACGAGUGAUAUGGAGAAGGAGAUUAGCAUAAUGCAUUUUGGUGGGAGUUCUUUUCCAAUUUAGCUCAUCUAUGUGGGAAGUUCAUUACAAUAUUUCUUUUAUGUCUCUUUCAGGGUAACAGAAUAAAACAGUUGAUGGUGGAGCAGUAGCUCUUUUCUGUGUCACUGUGAAAGAUCACUAAGCACUCUAUCUCUAAUUCUCAUUCCAGUUAUUAUAUAUUAAAAGAAUGAGUCUCUUCAGAGCUUGUUUUAAGUCAUAGGUUCAUGUGCCAAAUAUUGUAGCGAUCUCCACAUGUACAUUUUAAGUCCUUCUCAAUCAAUUAUAUGAUUAUAAUGCCCUGGAGAGACAAAAUGGGUAAAUAUUUCAACAUCAUGAAUAUUAAUGGUUAACAAUUUCAUCAGAACAUGAUAUUCCCAUAUUGAAAGUAGGUGAGCUGAAAGAAUGUGGUUGAUUGUAUUAGCUUGCCAGACAGAUAUAGGCAGUUACAGAAGCUUUUAUAACAGUUAGAAUUAAGGAAGAAACAUAAAAUUAUAGAUAUCUCUUGUGCUUUCCCUGAUUCCAAAAUAUUUGUCGGUUCAGAGAAGACCCUGUGGAAGACCAGUGAAAUCAUCUGUUAUAACCAGUCAGGAUAGCAGGAUAGCAGCAGGAGAGCAGGCUGUGCUAUUUCUGGGAAAUGAGGAAAGCAAAUCUAAUUUUAAAAAACCCCAAUUACUAAUGAUGUUUUUCAAAAUCACACAUACACUUGUAUUCCAAGGCCCCUGCUUUGCUCUUUUAUGGAAACCCUUGCAAAGCAAACCAACUUUAAGAUGCUAUCAGUGUGGACAAUGCGCUCAGCACCCACUUUGCAUACAUGUACAUGGCCGUCUCAGAGAAAAGCAGAGGAGAAGCAGAUUCUCAUGUUCUUCAUCAGCAGGUCCAAUAAUGUUUUAAGACAUGAUUAUUAAAGAAAGAUUCUCCUCCUUCCUUUCCUGCUGUUUACUUGGAAUUUUCAAAGAAAUGUUCAAGGCAUUUAAUAUGCAAUCUGAAUCAUUGAAAAGUAGAAUCAAGCAGUAAAUUGGCAGCAUUUCCCAGACUCGAGUGGACAAUGAAAGAGACCCUAUUUCUCAUGUGAUCUGAAAGGAGUAUCUGAAUAUACCCAAUGUCCCCAAAUGCAGGUUUAUAACCCUUGGCACCUGAGUUCCCCAGAUAGCACGCACUUAAAUAUAACUCUUAAAAACCUAUCAUGAAGGCAUCCUAAGCACUCAGUCUGAGCCGCUCAGAUCAAAGAUUAAGGAGGAAAACAAGGGUGAAAAAAGCUCUAGAAAGAAGUCAUAUUAGGGAUCCUUGUACUGCCUACCAUAUGUCUUGAAGAGAUAGAGGAUUUCUAAUCAUUUACUGUCCUGUCACCACUGGAAGAUCAUGCUGAACCCUCUGAAGUAUCGCAGACCACUGCAGACUAGUAAUCUGGUGGAAGGUCACAUCAGAGAACUGCAAUAAUAAAGUGACUGGGACAGUAGCCUGACAUUUGUGUUAAUAAACAUUAUCAACAACAUCAGCAAGACUUCAGAGAAAUUCCUGAAUUUCACUUGUCAGACUUGUUAGCAAGAAGUUUUGGGACAUAUUUUAGACAGACGUGUUCCUGGGAGAGGUGAUCAGCUCCAGGAAUCCUUAUGCCUCAGGCAUAAUUCAAUACCAUCUACAUCCUUCAUCUUCCUGAUCACAGAAAUUAGAGCUUGAAGAGGACUCCCCUGGUCACCAGACUGCUGUACAUUCUCAAGACCUUCCCAGUGCUCAUUUAAAGAGAGAAAGUUCGGGCAAUGACACUUGUACUGCUUCUUUCAGGAAACCAUUUCUCCUUUAUAAGGAAAUAAAACCCCCUUGUACAAUUCUUCAGUAGCUCCUUAUAGCAGUGUCUGCGAUUGUGAAGUGCUGUUGCACUGAGCAGGAAGCAAAUUAUCUCCCCUUUACAAUUUCCACUGGUGUAACUAAGUGUAACUAAGUGCAGAGUGAUGUAGAAUCUGACCCCUAAGAUUACAUUUAAGAAAUGUGCUCUAAGAGUUCAGUGUCUCCAUAUCUUUACUUUCUCCUUUUUCUUCUGUUACAGAUCCUGUCCAUUUGUGAAGUCUAAAACACUCGCAGGAGCUGUGGUCAUACACCACAUUGGCCAUUGUGCACAAGGACAAACAAUUUGAGUCUGAGUAGACUAAGACAUUUCCAAAGAACAUAGAAACAGUUUCUUCAAAUAUUUUGCUAACCAAUAAACUGAAAUUUUAAACAUGCAGGAGUGGAAAGUAAAAUAGAAAAGCCACAUUAGGUCUCCUAACAGCUUUCCUCUGGUCUACAGCAGCAAACCUUUUCCUAUGGCCAAAAUAAACAGCUCGACAAAAGGAAAAAAAAUAAAAAAGUCGAUGCUUGUUGUUGUAGCACAUAUACUAAGUGGAUUGAGCUGAAUAAGUAAUGCCAUGCAUGGCAUGUACAUACACAAUUCAGAUUAUGGAUAUAGGCAUUCUGUUCAAACUCAUCAAAGGCUUCAGUUCUCAUUUCAAAGCCUACCUGUUUCUUGUGGCUUUGACACAUGCUAAACCAAAUAUCAGGCUUGGGCAGAUAAUCACAAACAGUUGAGUUUCCAUAGCUUAGUAGGUUGUCACUGAGUUGCAGUGUCUGGCUGUGUGUGGAUAUGUCACCUAACACAUAGGUAGGACAAAAAGGCAUUAGCUUAAAUCACUGCAAAGGUCACAUUUGCUAUUUCGUAUAAGUAACAUCAAGAUGAGGCUCAGUGAAAUAAAAUAUUUAUUUCUAAUACAAACCGCUUUCAUAAUUUCUACUAACACGUUUUACUUUUCACUUGUAACAGACAGUCAUGUAAUUAGCUAACAUGGCUGUCUGUCAGAUGAGGUAAAUGGUCAUGCCUCAGUAGCUUGGUUGCUAGCAAUAGUCCUGUUGUAUCUGUAGCUUGGAAGAGGCAGGAAACAGACUACCCACCAAACAAAUGCUAUGAAAACUUACUGAAAAGAUAGCACAGAGAAAGAAUUACUCCUCUUUACUCUGACAAAUCCUCCCAGCAUAGCACUCAGUUAGGGUUUUGAAUCACACCCCGAGCAAGAGGGGACAGCAGACACCUGCAUGGCUUGUUCUCACCUAGCUGUACACUGUGACCACUGAGGCAUGUCUGUUUUAUUUAUUCAUACAUUGCUGAGGGUAUGUCAGGUAAGUUAUUGGAGCUAAAUAAAGCCUGCCUGUUUCACAAAUUGGGAGUGCUGGCUGAAGCUUUAUCAUAUCACCUCUAACCACUGAAGUCUCAGGAUAGCUUCAGUGAUGAUUACUGGGCUAUAAUACAAGCUGUCAAAGCUGUUAUAAUGAGGGGUUAAAAUAAUAUACGCGCUGUAUUGAAUAAUUGCUAUAAAUGCCCAGAGGCGUAAAAAUACUGUUUGAGAUGUUGUAAAUAAUGCGGCUGGAUUUAACUGGAAUUUGAAAUGCCCAUUCUGUUGGUUUUCUUUCUUGUGUCCUGGCCCUAACUGUCUUUUCGGGCCUGCUGCUCAGCCAGUGUUAGCCACAAAAGUAACAGUACCUCAGCAUACAGUAUAUAUCUGGGUCAAUCUGAGGUCAAAGCUCAAAAGGAGGCAGCAUACAGUAAAUAUAAAUGAAAGAUAUCACUACAAUAAACAAAACUGAUCUACAUUAACAUGAACAAGCUUGUCUGAUAGUGAAUACAUUUCCAAGACACAGGGUUAAGUUUGGUGCAUCAGCCAGGCUGAAGGUCUGAAUGAGAUGCACUGCUGCAAGCAGCUCUUGGGCAAAAACCCUCAAAUAUCUAUGAUCUCACAGAACAGACUUAUCAGUUAUGGUGAAAAUGUCAUCCUGAGAGUAGACUCUGUUACCCUUUUCAAAUAUUUUCUAUCACAGUCAAAGGAAGUGCUGUUUCCUUCUUUGUUAUAACUUUUUUCCUCAAGAUUAAUACUUCAGUUUACUUCCAUCAGUGAGGCUUGCUCUCCCAUUUUAUCCUUUCCUUCCUAAUUUUUUUUACUGUCAAGCAGAUGUUCUUUAACAGGAUAUACGAGUUUCUUUAUCUAUAGUAUAGCAGUAGUAGAAGUUUGUGUUUAGAGGGCACAUCCUCAGGAAAAAUACAGCAGGAGGUAUUCCUGAUGGGAGCUUGCCUUCUUAUUACAUUUUUAAUGUAGAUUUCCUUUUAAUUUUAAGCCCAGUGGUGGGCCAAGAUUGUAGAGAGUUCUGACAAGCACUAACUCUGUACAGCUUACCUCUAGGCAGACAGGGAGCAGUUGCUCCAUGAGCCUACCUGCAAGACAGGUUGUCAGUGUAGCUCCCUGGGGUGCUGUAGAAAUGGAGCCACUGUAAAAAAACAUGGGCACAAGGGUUGAGUCUUAGUACUCAGCAUCUCACUGCAGGACUCAGCACUAAGCUUAGCAGCCAGAUUUUCAGGGAAGCACGCUGGAAAAGUACCUCAUCAUUAGACAAUAAUAAUAAUAACAAAACAAAACAGGGACAGUCAAAAGAGUCUGGAUAAAAAAUUACCAAAAGGAGUGGGAGGCAGAAGUUGUACCAUAUCUGAUUUCAUUUCCCAUCAGUUAACGGAGGUCUGGAGAAUGAGGAAGGUGUGAUGAAAUAUUAAACAGCAACACACAAGUCUUAUGUAGUUGGAGUGCAAAUGACUAGUGACAUAAGACGUUCCAUUAAAUGAUGUCCAUGAAAAGCAAGCACAUAGUGAAUCAUCCAUCCACAUAGGCUUGCAAUAAGAAUGUUGCAGAACUCAUCUCUGGACUGAUAUUGCUGCUAUUUAAUGUAGUUUCUAGCAAGUCAUUUAUCAUAUUUAUGGCUACAUCUACCCCUUUUUACUAUGUUCUUUUUUCACGAGUUCUCCUAGAGAAAGGCUAUUCCACAGCUUUAUGAAGCCAUGAACUGGGGAAUAAUGCAUGACCUAAAGCAAAUGGAGGUGAAUGAUGCCCACAUUAUACUGGUUUUCCAGACCUGUCAAAGAACUGCCAAUACAUCAAGUAGCGCUGACCAACUUUUCUUUGCCUAUGGUCUCCAGAACAGGUAACAAAUGGAAUCAAGGGUAUGUUUACAAAGCUUCAUUAUGUUAUUCUACCUCAUGAUUUGCAGCAAAUGUGAAUAUUUGCAUCAUUUCUUGUAUCUGGAAUUGUCAUCCUUAUCUGCACACUACCAAUUCCAGGCUUUUCAACAGCAGAUUUGAAACACUGCCUAACGCUUCUGAAUAAUCAUUUCCUCCAAGGCCACACUUAAAAAAAAAUGCAGAAUUUAUUUAAAAUGUAGCUGGCUUUCUGACUACUUAGCGCCUUCAAAUAAUUUGGGUUUCUGAAAAAAUACAACUGCUAAGCAGCAGCUGCUGGACCACACACCACGUGAAAGAAAGAAAGCCGUGGUACUGUUGAGAGGUUUCUCAGGAUCUUCAUGCCAUGCAAAUCCUUCUGCUUCAGCUAAAUCCCUGGAGUAUGUAAUCCUGAUACAGUUAAACUGUUCCUGGAUCAUUUAUUUCCCUAGAAGAUUAUUUUGCUGCAUGCUUGGUGUACAAUUAUUUAUAGAGAAAGCCCUGUCCCUUUGCAAGGCAGAAAACAGCUUGAGGUAACUCAGUAGACACUCAAUCUGCAUUUUUUUUUCCCUUUUUUUCCCAGAAAUUCAUUGAAAUGUUGCAUAGAUUCUCUGAGGAGGUACAGAGCAUAAUAAGAGCAUAAGAACUGUUGUACUGGGUCAGACAGAAGUUUUCUUAAUCCCCAAUAUCCUGGAUAAGCAGGGAAAUAUAAGAGCGGAGGAAGAAAUAUAUUGAUGCUUUCUCAUCUUCUUAAAUUUCCUGAACCUGAGCCACAUCUCUAUGGUUAAUUAAUAGUCUUUCUUUCCUUAAUGUUUUCAAUUGCUUUUUGAACCCGUUAAUAUUUUGGCACUGACAAUGUUUUGUGGCAAUUAAUUUCAGCAAAGAAAUGAGCAUCUUCAGUUUCCUUUAAUGGCUGCAAACUUGGAGAAAACUAAAACUUUUCUGGAUUGGAUCUUUAGGCUUCCUUCAGUUUUAUUUUCCUCUACUUCAAAAUUUGGAUAAUGAUACUUUGUCAUCUGUCUUGCUGUCGUUAAUCAUUCUACCAGUUAUUUCACUAACAUUUGUUAGUGAGACCUGUUGAUUCAAGAAAAUGUGUUAAUCUGCACUGAAGACAUUUAGGAAAGGAGUUACUCAUUUCUUGAUUUUCUUUUUAAUUGGAGCUUCAUCAUGACAGUUAAAGUUGUUCAAACUUCUAAUGCAUUUAACUACAUACAAAGUAUUUAUUCAUGCUGGCCAGUUUCCAAACCUUAGUUCAGUUGAUGAGUCCUACAUAUUAGUGGAGAAAGUUAGUGGAGUGUGAUAUCUUUAAAAGUUAUUAUUGCACUACACAUAUAAUUUAUUACAAGCAAGCUUGUUGAAAUGCUACUCUACCAUCUAUAUUUUUCUGAUUUUCUGAUAUCUUUAAUGUACUUUUAAUAUUAAAGAGUCUUGCAAGAGUAUUGUAUUCAUUAUACCUCUCGUCUAAUUUUAUAAAUGUAUAUAUGUUUCAUACAGGUUAGUCAACGAUCCCACUGGAAUCAGAACUACAGUCACAAAAAAUGUUCUGAAUGAUGGAGUACAAACAGUGAGAUAAAAUAAUGAAAUUACAAGAACAUGCUGAGAAAGAAAAAAUGGUAGUUCAUUUCCCCCAAAGAAUAUGAUGCUAACAGAAGUAAAACAGGAAGGCUAUUUUUACUACAGUUUUGUUUUACUUCCUCUCUCUCCCAGAGUAUGUACAAUCUGAAGAUUAGAUAGAAUCGUACUAACUUAAGAGCUUGUUCUUUAAGUUUAGCAGAUGAUCCUAAAUAGAGGUCUUUUUCCAGAAGUCCCUUAGCAGCAUCCCCUCAUUUAGGUCAAGAGGUGGUGGAGUGGAGUCAGAGUUAAGUACUGAGAAGUGUUAGCUUUGUCCACAGAGCUGUCUUGAUCCUAACAGUAGGAAAAUCCUGAGAACAAUGCAGACUAAAUCUGACAUUUGUACUAUGUAGGGUGCUCCAAAAGUAAUACCUCCUUUAAAUGAAAAAAACUAAGUCACAAUGUUGAGAUACCUCUAACUCUCUUUAAAUCUAUGAUGAGUAUUUUGUUCCUAUUUUUUCGAUAACACUUUAAUUUAUUUCAGUGGGAUUCAGCUUGGUGGGUGAUCUACAUUUGUCUGUCCAACUACCCUUCCACCAACUUGCAUGCCAUUCUGGAAAUCAUUAUUCUAGCCUUUGAGCAAAACUUAUUAGUGAUUUGGAACCAAACAUUCUACUUUGUCUUCAGCCUGAAAGAGGGUAAGAACAUGAUCCUGAAGUCCAAAAUUACAUUACUGUCAUUGAGAUCAGAACUGGGAUAAUGGUAAGUAAACAAAUUACAGCAUUAAGUUAGAAUUAGCAUGUGACAGUAUUGGCAGCAUGAUGGAAACACAGCCCAGCCAUUUAUCUCUGUAGCUCUAGUUGCGUAAAAAAUAUAUUGUACGCAGAGAUUCAGCUGGCUCUAAUAGCUGCUCUAAUAUUUAACACUGCCCUGUAUUUUCUAAGUGCUGCUUGUUGUUACGAGUACCUUAAUUUCAACUGGAAGCGUAGAGAACAGGAUCCCAUUCCUGUCAGAGCAGUAGGAAAAAGCAUUCAGCCUCUGUUAUUUUAGCAGCUCUUUGUGGAUACUGGGCCCUGAUUACAGCAAGCUGAGGAUGGGCGUGCUUUUUGAAUGUGUUAAACUAGUUGCUGAUCCAGAUACUACAGAAUGAAUGAAAAUAUUUCUGUAAAUCUCAGUAGCGUUAGGUCAAUCAUAUGGUCAAACUGUUUGAGUCAAGCCUUUCAUCCCUUUUCUACCUGUGGCAAAAUGUCAGAAGAUUAUUGUCUUAAAUUGAGCAAUAGUCUGUAAUUGUUACAGACUAUUGUAUCUCACAUAACAAUAUUAUACCAAAACAAAUAAAAGAUGAUAUUUUGUAGUAGCCGUGAGCAAAGAGAGGGGAUGGAGGUCUCUAAUGAUGAUUCUUGCUGGAUUUUUUUUCUGCUCCUUCUUCACAUUAUAACCUCAAAAGUCCUCUCAUCUGUAUCAGUACCAUUCAGUUUUGUAAUCCCUGGUUAUUGCAUUAAUCACUACGUUGCAUUAAUUACUACCUUAACUAAGAGCCUUCUCCUAUAUCCACAUAUGGAUAGAAUGUAAUUGUCUGUUGGCUUCUGGAAAUCACCAGCACUGAAUAAAACUGAUCCAUUAAUUCAUCAGAAUUUCAGUCGGCAAACCAGGUUUGUGAGAUGCAAAUUAGUUCAAAAGAUAUUUGUUAAUGCUGGAAGAUUCAUGUACAAUUAAGUGCCUUCUUUAUUCAACAACUGUCUUCUUUUGUGCAGAAUAUAGUCCAUUAUCAUUUAUAGAGUUAUUUUAUGUAGCUAUAUAGUUACACGGAAGUAUAGGACUCCCUCCCUCUUGCCCAGCCUGACGGUGACAUCCCUUGUUUAAAAUAUUUUUGAAUGUUAAUUAGGUUUUCACUGCCCCUGUCUUUAGUGUCUGCUAGAAGGCAGCUCCCAUCCAGUAACCACCUUGAAGUUACCAUAGAUCUUGCUAAUUAUCUGUUUCCCCAUAACUCCAAUGGAUAAGACCCUGUGCAAUCUGUGGCAAACGAGACCUCAAUUAUGUAGCAAGUGCCCCUGGAUUCUCUUGCUUUCUAGUGCAGUAAAUUGGUGAUACUGCAGCUUCAGGUAAAUUUUAGAAAUUGAGGUUAUUAUUGCAUUAAAUAUUAAAUGAAUAAUCCAUGAAAGAAAUUCUUUGUAUUAUUUGUCACAGUAAAUUAAACUUGUUUUACCCUAGACCUGAAUUUCUUCUCUGCUUCUGAAGUGUACGUGAAAUAAGGAACUGAAGGGCAAGAACUUAUCAGAGCAACUGACAGCAGCUUCACUAGCCACAAGACAAUUUGGGAUUUGGGGCACUAAGGAAGCCUCGAGAAAUGAUUUGAGACUUGGGAUUCAGAACUCAGCACACAUGUUCCUGCUUAGCAGACAAGCUUGCAAAAACCCUCUCUGGUUAACAUUUAAAUGGCAUUGAGAGAAGUGCAAUUUCAGUUUGCCUACACAUGGGAAAAGAGUGCUGAGCUGCAUGUAGCUGUUCUAAAGGACAUUUAGCAGAAUAUCUGUGUCCAGAAAGGAACAGCUUUGUGGCUACAUCCACACAAGGACUUUACAUGCUGCAUUGCCUAAGUUUUAGAAUGGAAGAAUGCAUGAUUUGAGGCAAUGUUGCUUCAUUUUCUGCCUGUUUUGGUGAACCCACUAUUUCAGACAGCAGGCAGGAAACAUGCUGCUCUUCCCCCACAUGUGCUCAUUUGGUGGAUUCAGCUGUGAGAUGAGCCCCUGGCUGGCUGGCAGCUGGCUGCCCCGUUGGUGACAGUUUCCACAAGGUCACAUUUACCACAGGAUUUCUGAAGGCUGAAACUUGAGAAGCCUUCAGGGCAUCUCUUUGCGGGUUAAUCACUUAGACCUUGACUCUAAUCCUGACCUAUGCCUCUGCAGAGCCUGUAUGGAAUAACUGCUGGAGGAAUUCAGCCUCUCUGGUCCAGUUUGGGAUGCAUCACUCAUGGCUACAUCUUCAUGGUUCUACUUCAUGCAGAUGAUAUAGAAGUAUCGACGAACAGGUAUCUCCAUUCCCCACCUCCGUGCCCUCUAAAGGUGGUCACCCAAAUGCAGGUCUAAUUGCUCAAGCUUCUCCUUUUGCCAAGAAGUAAAAUCCCAUAGUUGAGCUUAUUUCUCAUUUCCAACUUUCCUGUCGUAUGGAUAUGAAAAAAAAAUGAUUUACAGCAUUCUGCAUUUCUCUGAAGUUGGUCUGUGCCUUCAUCCUUCCCUCUUGUUCUCAAUAGAAGAAACACCUUUUUUUGCUCCCCUGCCUUUUCUCCACAGCAUUCUAUCUGGCACCACAGAAAGUUAUUCAUUAGAUCCAUGAAGCAGCUGCCCUCAGUCUGACAUUGCUUUCUGCUCAGUUUAUUUUGAAGCCAGUCUCUGAUGAAACUAAAACUAAAUGCCCCGUCUUGUGAUGAGAUUGCCUGAUAUGGUUUCCCUGGCUAUUGUGAAAAUGUAUGCAGAGUCUGGCUAUGUCAAAAUGGUCAGGAAGGGAUGAUGUAAACAUGCGCUUUCAUGAAAUUCUGAGGAUAUAGGUGAAUCCUGAAUCCCAGCUCUCUCUUGGUUUUGCAUGUCUUUAAGUGAAUGACACAAAGCUCACAAAGCUCACUGACUGUUUCCCAGAGCAGUCAUCGGAGAUAGAUAACCGCCGCCUCCAAGAGUCCACCACUGAACCUGCUUUGCCAACUCUGCCAAGAACAUCACAGUUGUCAUCUGCUAUAUCCACUAUCUACUGCAGUGAAACAAUUCUGGCACUAAGGAUGGGGAAGGCUCCCACUUACGGCACAGAUGCUCAUAGCAUGAGGAGCAUGUCUCACUCUGCAAUCUGCUGGACAGCCCAGAUUCACGCUCAGUUUGAGCACACAAUGCUUUUUGGAAGACUUGAUAACACAGCCAUGCACUUCAGAUACACAGAAAGGCAAAUGGAAAAUCCAAGUAGGGUAUGCUGUAGCAGCCCAUUUCAACCUGGCGGAAAUAUGAUGUUUCGUGACAGCUCUGAUGUUUAUUGCUGCAAAGGCCCUGGCUUUCCCCAAGCUUGGGUUUGUGACAGUACUGCAAUGAAUCCUACAGCUCCCAGGUUCCCUGUCACAGGAACUGCAGAGGCAGCCUAAAAGAGACAAUUCAUCGCCAGUGAUAUUGUUCCCAUCUAAAUUAAAGCAUGGAAACCUCUGUCACUGUCUCUGGAGAUGAAGAAAUCAAUCAGCAAUUCUUGCCCUCCAAGAACAGAAAUCUAUGAAACAGUUUCCUUUGCUUUAAUCUACGGGGAUAUCUGUACAUUCUGCUCUUGCUUUCUGUUCAGUUCUCUGCAGGAUUUCAAAACUCUGAUUUAGGUGCUAAUAUGCUGCACUGAGUUCCCAUCCCCAGGCAGCUUCAUCAUCUCCAGGCUGUGUCGGCUUAAACUCUUAACCUGUCAUAAUACCAUGAUUAAGACCCAUCACACAGCUGAACAGUUCAAAAGCCCAUCUCUUCUUCACCACUGGACGCUCCCUCUUGCACAGUAGAAGGCAAAAUCAAUUGCCCCCUACAUGAAACAGAAGGAAGCCAAGUGGGCAGUUUCCAUGGCAGUUUCCAGAACUAUAGUGGAGCUCCCUCGCCAUGUUUAUGCUAUAUCUUCAGUUCUGCUGUUUCUUUGUGUGGACGAAACAGAAUAAUCUCCUGUUUGUUUUUUUUGUUGUUUUAAAUGUCUAUGCAUACGCUGCAAUAUUACACAGGUCUGUAUGAGUUUUAGAUCACAUCGCACCAAUUUAAAUUACUUGUGUUAAAAUCCAUAAGUCACAGGUGUUCUCAAUACCUUAUGUGUCAUAUGGGUAUUGCUAAGAUUGCCCCAUUUCUAGCAGUAAUCACGAAGACUGAAGAAAUGCACAUGGUCAUGUUUAAGAAGAUAAAUUAGGGUGAGUCUUAAGACCAUGAGAGCUUAGUACAAUAUUGCAGAUAGCACAGGGCCUGCCUGCCUGCAGAAAGGAUUUCUUGCUUUGUGCUGUGCAGUCUCUGAGGGUGUGUGUGUGUUAGUUAUUUCUGACAUCCCCGUACAGUAGAAUAAAAGCAGUUGAACAGUGGUAAGCCUGGAUGCUUACUGCCAGACAACAGCUUAAAUCAAAACAAAAGAGGAAAGCCAUGGUUCCGAACUAAGCACAGACAGUGGAUAUGCUAAACCAGAAUAUUUGCAGGAGUCAAGCAAAAAUAACUGUGCAUGUGAAAAGCCUCUUUUUUUUUUUUGGAGUUCAUAUCAGUCCGAUUCCUAUCUUGCCUUCAGUGAUCAGGAAGAAAAGAGCUCCAUUGUUUAGUGACAUUUCCGAAUAUUUAUAGUUCUCUAGUGGUAACCUUUUGUUUGGUAGAUAGUGGGGUUUGCACAGCAUGCUGAGUAUGUCAUUAAACAUUUGCCUGAAGAUCUGAGUGUUAGCAUCAAUGACAGAGUUUCCUAAACAUGUCACAUUUUCUUUGGCUGUCAUGAAAAAUUAUAGCUACUGUGACUCACACUUUAAUAGCAGCUAUUUGUGAUAUUUUAACCUAAUGUACAGCCCCAGAGGAGAAACAACAGACACAAUAAAGCAUCUGCCAGUGACUUGCUCCAACGAAGGGACUCUGAGCAUUAUUAGGAUGCCAAAUUAAAGAGAAAAGGCUCUUGUGUCAAAUGCCAAAGGGUCUCAGUGUUUGUUAACUUCACUGUAAUUUAUGUCUUAUCUCUGAAAGCUUAUGAAAAGAAAGAGAAGAAAUAUUCCUUUCCUCUCUGUUGUCUCUUUCUUUGUACCAAGUGGCAUAGUUUUUGUGAUAGAAAGGGUUAAAUACUUUUAAAUACUAAUGCGUCAUUAAGCGUUUUAUUUUUAACAAAUAAAAUACUUUGUGGGCAAUGUUACCUUCCAGUAGAUCGUAAUAUAAUUUUGGUUUUCUUCAGCAUAAAUUUUAAGAAGAAACACAGACACGGAAUGAUGCAGGUAUUAUGAAUAUCAUGUGAAAAAAAAACAAAUUGUAUUACAUUUCCCCAUCUUUUCUCCCAGACAUCUUGUUUGGAUUUUUCUGUAAGAGAACAUCAAGAAGUGAAUAUUUCAGAUAACUGUAAAGGAAAACUAUUCUGUCCCUAUUCAUCCAGAUUCUUUCGUAGUUUUUGCCAGAACCUCAUAUGUCAUCAUUACAUAGAUCAGGAAAUUCAUCCACACCUUAAUAUGUCCAUCUGUAAAAUAAGAAUAGAAAUAUUUGCCUCCUUUGUAGUUAAAUUCAGCCUUGCUUGGAAGUAUUUAAAGAACUUGGAGGGAAGAUGAAAUAAUUGACACAAGUUCAGAAUUGUAUCGCAUAUGUUUGGGAUGACAAUCCCAAAAGCUGAGCUCCAAAGGAAAUGCAAACAACUGCCACUAACUGCAUCCAGUGAUGGAGGUCCUAAGUCUACCUUAAAAGCAUAGAUGAAUACAUCAUUCUGGGGCAAUAUCAUCCGCCACCUAGACCUCUUCACCUUGGAGUAAAGGAGCCACUGCAGGAUUUAUAACAAAGGACCAAGCUCUGCAGUCCCAUGUGUGACUUCACUAUAUAUCAUUUUCUUUUAAGUGUUUGUUUCCCCACAGGAAAAAAAAGUCCAUGAAAUCUGAUGUUGCUUUUGCUUGUCAGUGUGGACAUUCUGUAAAUCAGACCAUAUUACGGCAGCUAUGCUCACAUUUCAACAUGAAACUGUGAUAGCACCUAAGCAGCUUUGUGAAAUAUGUUCUCAAUAAAUAGAACUGAAAACUAAA